rnacentral:lncRNA from 1 species
CUCAGAGGCCUCCUCCUCUGGCUGUGGACACUGAUGAGGGCUGAGGACAUUAUUUCUCUCUGCAUCCAGUGUCACAAGGAACAGCCUGACAUGGCCUUCCUGGUGGACUGCUGUUGGCUGCCUCUGUGGCUAGCGAAGGGGAGUGGCUCUGGGAGCAGAAGGCCGUCACCUGCCCUGGACCAGAGACUGUGUCUUUGGGAGAAUGUCCCAGUCCAGACCCUUCCUACCUUCUUUGGGUGCUGCUGACACCUACUUACAAUUACUGCAAAUAUCACUCAGGAGCCCAAAUGAAAAGUUCUGUGAACCAAAUCAUAUUUCCAAUAUGUCCAGAGGGCUGUAAUUAGCUUGGGACAAAAUGUUGGAAGCUCUUGGUAAAUUUCUUUGUGUAGAUUUCCAGGCUUGAAGUUUUCUGUAAGAUGCGAGGAUGGCUCCCCUUUCUCGAGGGCUUACCCUGGGCCCCGCGUGGGGCCUCCCCUGCCAGGACAGCUCAGUGGGCUCCCUGGUUUGGCUCCACAGGGCGCCUCCAGAGCCACACAAUGACAGGCUC